CCUACGGGCGGCAGCAGUAGGGAAUUUUGCGCAAUGGGCGAAAGCCUGACGCAGCAACACCGCGUGAAUGUUAAGCCCUUCGGGGUGUAAAGUUCUGUAAAUAGGGACGAAUUUUGACUGUACCUAUAAAGGAAGCACCGGCUAACUCCGUGCCAGCAGCCGCGGUAAUACGGGGGGUGCAAGCGUUAUCCGGAUUUACUGGGUGUAAAGGGAGCGUAGACGGCAAGGCAAGCCAGAAGUGAAAGGGCAGGGCUCAACCCUGUACAUGCUUUUGGAACUGUGGUGCUAGAGUGCAGGAGAGGUAAGUGGAAUUCCUAGUGUAGCGGUGAAAUGCGUAGAUAUUAGGAGGAACACCAGUGGCGAAGGCGGCUUACUGGACUGUAACUGACGUUGAGGCUCGAAAGCGUGGGGAGCAAACAGGAUUAGAUACCCUUGUAGUC
rnacentral:rRNA from 1 species